rnacentral:rRNA from 1 species
UACAGAGGUCCCGAGCGUUGUUCGGAUUCACUGGGCGUAAAGGGUGUGUAGGUGGCUUGGUAAGUUUGAUGUGAAAGCUCAGGGCUCAACCCUGAAAUGGCAUUGAAUACUACUGAGCUGGAGGUUUGGAGGGGGGACUGGAAUUCUCGGUGUAGCAGUGAAAUGCGUAGAUAUCGAGAGGAACACCAGUGGCGAAGGCGAGUCCCUGGACAACACCUGACACUGAGGCACGAAAGCUAGGGGAGCAAACAGG